rnacentral:rRNA from 1 species
GCUUGUCUCAAAGAUUAAGCCAUGCAUGUCUUAGUGUAAAUAACUCUUAUGAAACUGCGAAUGGCUCAUUAAAUCAGUUAUCGUUUAUUUGAUGGUCCCUUACUACAUGGAUAACCGUAGUAAUUCUAGAGCUAAUACAUGCAAAAAACCCCGACUUCUGAAGGGGUGUAUUUAUUAGAUAAAAAACCAAUGCCCUUCGGGGCUCUUUGGUGAUUCAUGAUAACUUAACGGAUCGCAUGGCCUUGCGCCGGCGACGGUUCAUUCAAAUUUCUGCCCUAUCAACUUUCGAUGGUAAGGUAUUGGCUUACCAUGGUUUCAACGGGUAACGGAUUUUUAGGGAAAGAUCCCGGAGAGGGAGCCUGAGAAACGGCUACCACAUCCAAGGAAGGCAGCAGG